CCUACGGGAGGCAGCAGUAGGGAAUAUUGCUCAAUGGGGGAAACCCUGAAGCAGCAACGCCGCGUGGAGGAUGAAGGUUUUCGGAUUGUAAACUCCUUUUGUUAGAGAAGAUAAUGACGGUAUCUAACGAAUAAGCACCGGCUAACUCCGUGCCAACAGCCGCGGUAAUACGGCGGGUGCAAGCGUUACUCGGAAUCACUGGGCGUAAAGCGCGCGUAGGCGGGAUAGCAAGUCAGAUGUGAAAUCCUAUGGCUUAACCAUAGAACUGCAUUUGAAACUGGUAGUCUAGAGUAUGGGAGAGGUAGGUGGAAUUCUUGGUGUAGGGGUAAAAUCCGUAGAGAUCAAGAGGAAUACUCAUUGCGAAGGCGACCUGCUAGAACAUAACUGACGCUGAUGCGCGAAAGCGUGGGGAGCAAACAGGAUUAGAUACCCCUGUAGUC
rnacentral:rRNA from 1 species